rnacentral:piRNA from 1 species
UACUACUUUGUCUUCGUGGCUUGGCUG